AACGCUAGCUACAGGCUUAACACAUGCAAGUCGAGGGGCAGCAUUGGAGUAGCAAUACUUCAGAUGGCGACCGGCGCACGGGUGAGUAACACGUAUCCAACCUGCCGCUUACUCGGGGAUAGCCUUUCGAAAGAAAGAUUAAUACCCGAUGGUAUGAAGAGUUCGCAUGUUCUCUUUAUUAAAGAAUUUCGGUAAGCGAUGGGGAUGCGUUCCAUUAGAUUGUUGGCGGGGUAACGGCCCACCAAGUCUACGAUGGAUAGGGGUUCUGAGAGGAAGGUCCCCCACAUUGGAACUGAGACACGGUCCAAACUCCUACGGGAGGCAGCAGUGAGGAAUAUUGGUCAAUGGACGAGAGUCUGAACCAGCCAAGUAGCGUGAAGGAUGACUGCCCUAUGGGUUGUAAACUUCUUUUAUAAGGGAAUAAAGUGAGGGACGUGUCCCUUUUUGUAUGUACCUUAUGAAUAAGGAUCGGCUAACUCCGUGCCAGCAGCCGCGGUAAUACGGAGGAUCCGAGCGUUAUCCGGAUUUAUUGGGUUUAAAGGGAGCGUAGGUUGACGUAUAAGUCAGCUGUGAAAGUUUACGGCUCAACCGUGAAAUUGCAGUUGAUACUGUAUGUCUUGAGUGUACAAGAGGUGGGCGGAAUUCGUGGUGUAGCGGUGAAAUGCUUAGAUAUCACGAAGAACUCCGAUUG
rnacentral:rRNA from 1 species